UAAAGGUUUGGUCCUAGCCUUUUUAUUGAUUUAUAGUAAACUUAUACAUGCAAGCCUCCCCUAACCAGUGCAAAUGCCCUUAAAUUCCUUAAGACUAAAAGGAGCGGAUAUCAAGUUCACUAUUGUAGCUCAUAACAUCUUGCUUAGCCACACCCGCACGGGAUACAGCAGUAAUAAAAAUUAAGCAAUAAACGAAAGUUUGACUUAGUCAUACUAUAUUAGAGUUGGUUAAUUUCGUGCCAGCCACCGCGGUCAUACGAAUAACUCAAAUUAAUAAAUAUCGGCGUAAAGCGUGAUUUAAUGAAUUAAUAAAUAAAAUAAAAAUCUUUCUAUGCUGUAAAAAGCCUUAGAAUGUGCUAAAAUUAAUGACGAAAGUGAUUUUAUAACAUUUGAAUUCACGAAAACUAAGAAACAAACUGGGAUUAGAUACCCCACUAUGCUUAGUUGUAAACUCAGAUAAUCCAUAACAAGACUAUUCGCCAGAGAACUACUAGCCAAAGCUAAAAACUUAAAGGACUUGGCGGUGCUUCACAUCCACCUAGAGGAGCCUGUUGUGUAAUUGAUAAACCCCACUAUACCCUACCACCACUUGCUAAUACAGUCUAUAUACCGCCAUCUCCAGCAAACUCUAAAAAGAUAAAGUAGUAAGCUUAAUCAUAAUAAUAUAAAAACGUUAGGUCAAGGUGUAACCUAUGUGAUGGAUAUUAAUGGGCUACAUUUUCUAUAUUAUAGAAUAUCUCUCAUACGUAAAUCUUUAUGAAAUUUAAGACAGAAGGAGGAUUUAGUAGUAAAUUAAGAAUAGAGUGCUUAAUUGAAUAAGGCUAUGAAGCACGCACACACCGCCCGUCACCCUCCUCAACCCUACUCAAGUAUAUUUAUAUACUUUACUUAUAAGAGGAGAUAAGUCGUAACAAGGUAAGCAUACUGGAAAGUGUGCUUGGAGAACUU
rnacentral:ncRNA from 1 species